ensembl:snRNA U6 U6 spliceosomal RNA
CUGCUCACUUUGGCAGCACAUACACUAAAAUUGGAAUGAUACAGAUAUUAGCAUGGUCCCUGUGCAAGGAUGACACGCAAGUUCAUGAAGUGUUCUGUAUUUUU